UGGCCCAUUGGCUGUUCAACCACUUGUUAACCAUAUAUGGCCAAGGUUCUAGCAGUUUCUUUGUACCCUCAUUGGUCUGUAAGCGUGUCUGUUUACCGUUUUGUUUCCCUAUUGGUCACUGCAAUCCUUUCUCACUCACACCUUCAGGUUGUUUCUCCGCCCCUUUGUACCAGUAUAUAGUCUUGGACCCUCUCCCGCUCUCUGUUUUUGGCCUUGGACUCUUUAAGUGUGUAGGAGAGAUAAACUAUCACUGGGAUCCCAUACAAAAACCUUUCCUGCCUCUGUCAUCUUAGAUAACCAGCUGCUUAGAUAAUUGUGAGCUGGUUUUGCUCUGUGCUUGGUGGAGCGCUCUCCUUGUGGGGACAUUUCGGGAAGGUUGCAGCAACCUACCAUCUGCCCGGAACAGGGACCUGUUCUGCAGUGUCCCUGAAAAGCGUCUCCAUUGACUGGUAUGUGCCAAAAUGGUGCUGGCCCUGUGAGGGGACUUGCCCUUUUGACUGAAUUUCCGGUGAUUCCUGCCACCCAAAAUGGCGCCAACCCCCUGAGGGGAUCUGCCAUUUUGAGCCUUUCUUCGCCAAGUUUUCCCGCUUUUUCACAUCAAAAUAGUGCAUAUGAUCUUCCUCCUGUCUCUGCUCCCGCUCCUCCAUCAGGCUCCUCCCUUUCCAGCACGGGCCCUGCUCCAUUCCCUCAUCCAGCUCUGCUGCUAGCAACAGUGAUGCUUCCAGUUCCCACGCCACUGAGACCAGAAGUGGACAUGAUGGUGACCGGAGGGAAUCCGUCUUGGUUGUCAGCACCCCAUGGCAUUGGGCCUUACUGAUCAACCGCAGGCCCCACAGCUCUAUUAUUAAAACACCUGCCUCUCCAGAGGAGUCCAGUCAUUCCUUGGGGUCUGAUACUGAGCCUGAGGAUCACUGGACAGAGUGUAACAGCAGCACAGUGGAGAAAAGAGGAACCACAUCCAGCUGGAGAGCACUGACAAGGGAUGAUUCUCCCGUGUGCCAGGGACAAAUCCUCAGGACAUGCUCGCAGUAACUGGGCAGAAAAAAUUAUUUCAUUAGAGACCAAAAGGAGCCCAAGUUACCUUGUUGUAAAUACAAGUAGACCCCGAAUUUCACCGAAGUGUUGUGCUACUAUCUGUGUCCUUCAAUAGCACAUCAAAUGUGGAUGUAGUAGUACAGGAAGAAGUAUUCCAGCAGAGACAAACCUUUGGAUGCCUUCCCUAGGAAGAAGGAAAGCAAGCAUCCUAGUCAGUGUCCUUAAAAAAAGUUUGCAUGGCUUGUGAACGGCCCACCUGGAGCCACCUCAGAGCUCAAGCCUGCAGAGAAACAGUUUUGAAAUCUGUUCCAGAAAUUUCCAUCAGUCAUAAAGGCAGAAACCUUGUGAGAUCAAGGACAAUGGCAAAAGAUAAAAUUGGCAGACAGCAGAAAAACACUGAAGGUCAAACUCAGUAUGAGGAUCAUGCACUUACUAGCUUAUCAUCACUUGACUACAGGAGACCCAUCUGAUUUAUAAUCCUAAGUGUCACAUCCUUACAUUUAAGACACUGGCUUUUCUACACUAGACCUGGUCCUUAGAUGGUGUAAAGGUGUCUGUUCAUAUCAACAGAGAUCCCAGGGGGAUAUGUGUGGUGAAAGAUGGCUAAGAAUUCCACAACAGCUGACCACACUUCAUCAGGGUCAACAUACAGCUGAAGCAACCAGGAGGAUGUUUAUCAACUAUUGCAUAUCAAGCUCCUUACAAUCAUAUAGGCAUCCUUUGAGACAUAGCCAUGAUUUUUCACUCUUUUUUUAUGGUGAGAAGGAUUUUAAGAAAUUACAUAUAUUCAGAAGUUAUGUCUCAUAUUUGUGAAGUGCUGAGAUUAUUUGUACAUAUGUGCUCCUCAGAUUAAGUUGAUUAAAAAAAACCCUUGCUAGUGUAUGUAUAUGCAUACACCCCUCCUUAUGUUGCACAUUUGUUUGUGAAUAGAGCAUUUUUUAAAAAACCCUAUUUUCUCUGAAAUGUAUCCACAAUUUCUAAAAGAUGCCAUGGCCACAUAAUGAAUAGUAGCUAAAUUACAAAUCAGCAGAAUGGCAGUAAUAAAUAGAUGAAAGACCUCCCUGUGCUAAUAUCCAUAUGAGGAAUAAACCAUGGUAUUUCCUAUCCUGUAAUGAAUGCCAUGGUUCUGAUCCAUAGGUCUCGCAUUUUUUGCCUGCAUACAGGCACGCACAGCUCACAGAGCAAUGUGAGAGUCACAAGUCUCUAGUGUAAUUCAUGCUCCAGUUCAGCAGCUGUGGGGGGUUUGCUGAAGACAACGUGGCCAAGAAAUUCCUGAGAGAAUAAGAAUGGUUGUUAACAGUUCUGAGAAAGUCUUCCUCUGGGUUAUUAUCCCAUAGAGAGAGAUAGUGCGGUUUGGCGGUCUUAAGCAAACAAACAGCUCUGAGAAACUACACAUAUUCCCUCUGAGAUUACAGCAAAUGAAAAACAAAAAACCAUCCUCUUUUAAAAGUGGUUUGAAGCAUUCGUGAUACUGUCAGUGAAGUACUUGGACUUCUUCCUGCCUUGUGCAUCAGGUCACAGUUUCCAUACUCCCAAAGGAAACAGCCUUGGCUGAGCAAAAGAAAGUCCCAUUUACUCUUACUGUUAUCUUUUCAAAGCUGGCCUUGUUGAACAGCAAUGAGGCACAAGCACAUCUAAUAACUGAAAACCACCAAAGAACAAUGCAGUAGCAUCUCAAAAUGGGCACUCCUUUUUAAAUUACUUACACCUGGGACACUGCUCACACACAUUAAAGUAACGGAAGGAAAAGUUGCCUGAAAAAUGUAUUUUCUUGUAGCAUUUUCCAAUCCCUUGAGCUAGCUGGCAAAUGAAACAUGGAUGGGAUGCAUUUCUAGGGCACUGAAAGUCAGAAAUAGAGUAAAAAACUACCUGGCCAAUGGCUUAAGACAGUUUUAAGAUUUCAGAAGUGACAGGCUCCUUUCUCCUGACACUACCUACUUACAUUGCCUAAAGCAACACAGGUUAAACUCUCAAAGCAACAGUUUCUUAAUAUACCUGGAGUACUGAGCAGGAACUAUUUCCUCAACUGCCUCUCAUGCAUUUUAAGCUGUAUCCAAGCAAAUCAAGUUAACAGGGUAGAUGGCGAGAAGAAACAUAGUUCUGUGACUAAGAAGCAAGGCUACAAUUCAACUGCUGGUACUCCCACAGAUUUCCCAGCUCAGUCUUCUGUGCUCCUUCUGUCUCUGAAAAAAUAACAGCAGUAGAAAUAGUUCUAAUAUCUAACCUCUAAUUUUUUUGUGUUAUGUUUCUUAGUGUGCUGAGACAGUGUUUAGCACAGUCAAGUACUGAAGUUUUUUUACUGGUGCAUAAGUGUGGCUCUAUAUUUGCUGGUACCAAACAUCCAAGCAGCCCUUGGGAGAGCAUUGGAUAGCACCACUCAUCUCUCUGAUGCAUUGUCAUAUGGUCCAGAUGGCUGCAGUAUGUAGGCAACUGGGAACCAAAGCAGCAGGAGGAGUACAUCCUGCUGCAAUUUCCUUCUGGUGCUGAUCUUCAUGCGUUCAGCAUUUAGAUUAGUUUGUGGUUAGGAAGUCCACAGGCCUGGGUGGCCUAAGACCUAGCAAAAAAAAAUACACUGUAGCUUGCCAGCUAUCAAAUGACCAGAUUUGCCCCCAAAAACUCUGUAAAGGUUAUUGCAGCUCAGCCAAGGGAAAAUCCCCUCCUAUGCAGAGU